UACACGACCGUACCGCAAACCGACACUGGUGCGCGAGAUGAGUAUUCUAAGGCGCUUGAGAGAACUCAGGAGAAGGAACUCGGCAAAUUGACACCGUAACUUCGGAAGAAGGUGUGCCUUUAGUAGGUGAACCAUUUACUUGGGGAGCUCAAUGAGGCUGCAAAAAAUCGGUGGCUGCAACUGUUUAUUAAAAACACAGCACUCUGCUAAGACGAAAGUCGACGUAUAGGGUGUGACGCCUGCCCGGUGCUGGAAGAUUAAAUGAUGGGGUGCAAGCUCUUGAUUGAAGUCCCAGUAAACGGCGGCCGCAACAAUAACGGUCCUAAGGUAGCGAAAUUCCUUGUCGGGUAAGUUCCGACCUGCACGAAUGGCGUAAUGAUGGCCACACUGUCUCCUCCUGAGACUCAGCGAAGUUGAAAUGUUUGUGAUGAUGCAAUCUCCCCGCGGAAAGACGGAAAGACCCCAUGAACCUUUACUGUAGCUUUGUAUUGGACUUUGAACAGAUCUGUGUAGGAUAGGUGGGAGGCUUUGAAGUGUGGUCGCUAGAUCGCAUGGAGCCAACGUUGAAAUACCACCCUGGUGUGUUUGAGGUUCUAACCUAGGUCCAUUAUCUGGAUCGGGGACAGUGCAUGGUAGGCAGUUUGACUGGGGCGGUCUCCUCCCAAAGUGUAACGGAGGAGUUCGAAGGUACGCUAGGUACGGUCGGACAUCGUGCUAAUAGUGCAAUGGCAUAAGCGUGCUUAACUGCGAGACUGACAAGUCGAGCAGAUGCGAAAGCAGGACAUAGUGAUCCGGUGGUUCUGUAUGGAAGAGCCAUCGCUCAACGGAUAAAAGGUACUCUGGGGAUAACAGGCUGAUACCGCCCAAGAGUUCAUAUCGACGGCGGUGUUUGGCACCUCGAUGUCGGCUCAUCUCAUCCUGGGGCUGUAGCCGGUCCCAAGGGUAUGGCUGUUCGCCAUUUAAAGAGGUACGUGAGCUGGGUUUAAAACGUCGUGAGACAGUUCGGUCCCUAUCUUCCGUGGGCGCUGCAGAUUUGAGGAAGCCUGCUCCUAGUACGAGAGGACCGGAGUGGACGAACCUCUGGUGUAUCGGUUGUCACGCCAGUGGCAUUGCCGAGUAGCUAAGUUCGGAAGAGAUAACCGCUGAAAGCAUCUAAGCGGGAAACUCGUUUCAAGAUUAGAUCUGCCGGGGCCUUGAGCCCCCUAAAGAGUCGUUCAAGACCAGGACGUUGAUAGGUCAGGUGUGGAAGC
rnacentral:rRNA from 1 species